GAUGAACGCUGGCGGCGUGCCUAAUACAUGCAAGUCGAGCGAACAGAUGAGGAGCUUGCUCCUCUGACGUUAGCGGCGGACGGGUGAGUAACACGUGGAUAACCUACCUAUAAGACUGGGAUAACUUCGGGAAACCGGAGCUAAUACCGGAUAAUAUAUUGAACCGCAUGGUUCAAUAGUGAAAGACGGUUUUGCUGUCACUUAUAGAUGGAUCCGCGCCGCAUUAGCUAGUUGGUAAGGUAACGGCUUACCAAGGCAACGAUGCGUAGCCGACCUGAGGGGGUGAUCGGCCACACUGGAACUGAGACACGGUCCAGACUCCUACGGGAGGCAGCAGUAGGGAAUCUUCCGCAAAGGGCGAAAGCCUGACGGAGCAACGCCGCGUGAGUGAUGAAGGUCUUCGGAUCGUAAAACUCUGUUAUUAGGGAAGAACAAAUGUGUAAGUAACUAUGCACGUCUUGACGGUACCUAAUCAGAAAGCCACGGCUAACUACGUG
rnacentral:rRNA from 1 species